UACGGGGGGGGGCAAGCGUUGUCCGGAUUUACUGGGCGUAAAGAGCGCGCAGGCGGUCGUGCAAGUCGCGUGUGAAAGCCCCCGGCUCAACUGGGGAGGGUCACGCGAUACUGCUCGACUUGAAGGCAGGAGAGGGAAGUGGAAUUCCUGGUGUAGCGGUGGAAUGCGCAGAUAUCAGGAGGAACACCGAUGGCGAAGGCAGGUCUCUGGGCCAUUACUGACACUGAGAAGCGAAAGCAUGGGGAGCGAACAGG
rnacentral:rRNA from 1 species